GCGCAAUGGACGAAAGUCUGACGCAGCAACGCCGCGUGAGGGAUGACGGCCUUCGGGUUGUAAACCUCUUUUGUCAGGGACGAUGAUGACGGUACCUGACGAAUAAGCCACGGCUAACUACGUGCCAGCAGCCGCGGUAAUACGUAGGUGGCAAGCGUUGUCCGGAUUUACUGGGCGUAAAGAGCGCGCAGGCGGUCGUUCAAGUCGCGUGUGAAAGCCCCCGGCUCAACUGGGGAGGGUCACGCGAUACUGAUCGACUCGAAGGCAGGAGAGGGUAGUGGAAUUCCCGGUGUAGUGGUGAAAUGCGUAGAUAUCGGGAGGAACACCAGUGGCGAAGGCGACUACCUGGCCUGUUUCUUGACGCUGAGGCGCGAAAGCUAGGGGAGCAAACGGGAUUAGAUACCCCGGUAGUCCUAGCCGUAAACGAUGGACACUAGGUGUUGGUGGUAUCAACCCCGCCAGUGCCGAAGCUAACGCAUUAAGUGUCCCGCCUGGGGAGUACGGCCGCAAGGCUA
rnacentral:rRNA from 1 species